rnacentral:piRNA from 1 species
UGCACUGUGUAAUAUGCAAAGGGAGUG